UACGUAGGGUGCGAGCGUUGUCCGGAAUUAUUGGGCGUAAAGGGCUCGUAGGCGGUCUGUCACGUCGGGAGUGAAAACUCGGGGCUUAACCCCGAGCCUGCUUCCGAUACGGGCAGACUAGAGGUAUGCAGGGGAGAACGGAAUUCCUGGUGUAGCGGUGAAAUGCGCAGAUAUCAGGAGGAACACCGGUGGCGAAGGCGGGUCUCUGGGCAGUAGCUGACGCUGAGGAGCGAAAGCGUGGGGAGCGAACAGG
rnacentral:rRNA from 1 species